rnacentral:rRNA from 1 species
GAUGAACGCUAGCUACAGGCUUAACACAUGCAAGUCGAGGGGCAGCGGGUCGAAAGCUUGCUUUCGAUGCCGGCGACCGGCGCACGGGUGCGUAACGCGUAUCAAACCUGCCUCAUACUCGGGGAUAGCCUUGCGAAAGUAAGAUUAAUACCCGAUGUUGUUGCUUUCUCGCAUGGGAGAGUAACCAAAGAUUUAUCGGUAUGAGAUGGUGAUGCGUCCGAUUAGGUAGUAGGCGGGGUAACGGCCCACCUAGCCUUCGAUCGGUAGGGGUUCUGAGAGGAAGGUCCCCCACACUGGAACUGAGACACGGUCCAGACUCCUACGGGAGGCAGCAGUGAGGAAUAUUGGUCAAUGGGCGAGAGCCUGAACCAGCCAAGUAGCGUGCAGGAUGACGGCCCUCCGGGUUGUAAACUGCUUUUAGUUGGGAAUAAAAAAAGGGACUUGUCCCUUCUUGUAUGUACCUUCAGAAAAAGGACCAGCUAAUUCCGUGCCAGCAGCCGCGGUAAUACGGAAGGUCCAGGCGUUAUCCGGAUUUAUUGGGUUUAAAGGGAGCGUAGGCGGAUUGUUAAGUCAGCGGUUAAAGGGUGUGGCUCAACCAUGCAUUGCCGUUGAAACUGGCGAUCUUGAGUGCAGACAGGGAUGCCGGAAUUCGUGGUGUAGCGGUGAAAUGCUUAGAUAUCACGAAGAACUCCGAUCGCGAAGGCAGGUGUCCGGGCUGCAACUGACGCUGAGGCUCGAAAGUGUGGGUAUCAAACAGG